rnacentral:lncRNA from 1 species
CUGCGUGGAUAAUAGCAAACGGUAGAGGUCCUUCGCGUUCCGUUUGUUCCGAGCUCCGUUGUACGUAACCACCGACACUUGUAUGGACUUGGAAUUGCAAGACUUGAACUCGAAAGCGGGUGGGUGGUGGGGAGACUGUAACGCCCUGCGUUUUCAAACUUCCUACAUUUAGAAACCUUACGUGAAAUUCUAUCUUUGGAAAUCUUGUGU